rnacentral:rRNA from 1 species
GACGAACGCUGGCGGCGUGCUUAACACAUGCAAGUCGAACGGAAAGGCCCUGCUUUUGUGGGGUGCUCGAGUGGCGAACGGGUGAGUAACACGUGAGUAACCUGCCCUUGACUUUGGGAUAACUUCAGGAAACUGGGGCUAAUACCGGAUAGGAGCUCCUGCUGCAUGGUGGGGGUUGGAAAGUUUCGGCGGUUGGGGAUGGACUCGCGGCUUAUCAGCUUGUUGGUGGGGUAGUGGCUUACCAAGGCUUUGACGGGUAGCCGGCCUGGGAGGGUGACCGGCCACAUUGGGACUGGGAUACGGCCCAGACUCCUACGGGAGGCAGCAGUGGGGAAUAUUGCACAAUGGGCGGAGGCCUGAUGCAGCAACGCCGCGUGCGGGAUGACGGCCUUCGGGUUGUAAACCGCUUUCGCCUGUGACGAAGCGUGAGUGACGGUAAUGGGUAAAGAAGCACCGGCUAACUACGUG